rnacentral:lncRNA from 1 species
UUGUACUCAGGAGGCUGAGGCAGGGAGGAUCACUUGAUACCAGGAGUUCAAGACCAGCCUGGGCAACACAGCAAGACCCCAUUUCUAAAAAUGAAAAAACAACCCAGGCAUAGCAGUGCACACCUGUAGGAUCAGCUGCUCAGGAGGCUGAGGUAGGAGGAUCAGUGAGCCCAGAAAUUUAAGGAUGCAGUGAUCUGUGGUCGUGCCACUGUACUCCAGUCUGGGUGACAAAG